AGGGUUUGAUUCUGGCUCAGGAUGAACGCUGGCGGCAGGCCUAACACAUGCAAGUCGGGCGGUAGCACAGGGGAGCUUGCUCCCCGGGUGACGAGCGGUGGACGGGUGAGUGAUGUCUGGGGAUCUGCCUGAUGGAGGGGGAUAACUACUGGAAACGGUAGCUAAUACCGCGUAACGUCGCAAGACCAAAGCGGGGGACCUUCGGGCCUCGCGCCAUCAGAUGAACCCAGAUGGGAUUAGCUAGUAGGUGGGGUAAUGGCUCACCUAGGCGACGAUCCCUAGCUGGUCUGAGAGGAUGACCAGCCACACUGGGACUGAGACACGGCCCAGACUCCUACGGGAGGCAGCAGUGGGGAAUAUUGCACAAUGGGGGAAACCCUGAUGCAGUCAUGCCGCGUGUGUGAAGAAGGCCUUAGGGUUGUAAAGCACUUUCAGUGGGGAGGAAGGAUGUGGUGUUAAUAGCACUAUGUAUUGACGUUACCCACAGAAGAAGCACCGGCUAACUCCGUGCCAGCAGCCGCGGUAAU
rnacentral:rRNA from 1 species